AUUGAACGCUGGCGGCAGGCCUAACACAUGCAAGUCGAACGAGUGGCGGACGGGUGAGUAAUGUCUGGGAAACUGCCUGCUGGAGGGGGAUAACUACUGGAAACGGUAGCUAAUACCGCAUACCAUCAGAUGUGCCCAGAUGGGAUUAGCUAGUUGGUGGGGUAACGGCUCACUGAGGCGACGAUACCUAGCCGCCCUGCGAGGGUGAUCGGCCACACUGGGACUGAGACACGGCCCAGACUCCGCCGGGAGGCAGCAGUGGGGAAUAUUGCACAAGGGGCGCAAGCCGGAUGCAGCCAUGCCGCGUGUAUGAAGAAGGCCUUCGGGUUGUAAAGUACUUUCAGCGGGGAGGCGUUACUCGCAGAAGAAGCACCGGCUAACUCCGUGCCAGCCGCCGCGGUAAUUC
rnacentral:rRNA from 1 species